UACUUAUAUAACUUAUAUUAAGAGUGAAACAUUGAAGAUGUUUAAGAGGAUGAGAUUCCUAUAAGUA
rnacentral:tRNA from 1 species